ACAUACACAGGAACAAAGAUGAGGAUUGCAUCAGCUUCCUUUCUGCUCUUGCCGGCCUCUACCGGGAGCAGCAAUGCACGCGAACAGACAGAGAAGCAACAUCUGUAAGGUACUGAGGGCAAGGGAAGUUAACCUAGAAUACUCUGCCAGAAAAAAUAAAUUCCCAAAACUGGAAGUGAAGUAAGGACAUUUAGAGACUUGCAAAAGCUGACCGAAUUCACUACCAGCUGACUCACACUACAGAAACGUCAAAGGAGUCUUCCGGGCAGAAGGAAUCCAAUACCAGAUGAAAAUCUAGAUCUACAUGAGGAAAUGAAGAACACCAGAAAUAGGACAUCGGUGGGAUCAAGUGAAAAAGGAGGACCAAGAGGCAACAGGUCCCAGGCUCACCAGGGAGCUGCUGGAUGAGAAAGAGCCUGAAGUCUUGCAGGACUCACUGGAUAGGUGUUAUUUGACUCCUUCAGGUUAUCUUGAACUGCCUGACUUAUGCCAGCCCUACAGAAGUGCCGUUUACUCAUUGGAGGAACAGUAUCUUGGCUUGGCUCUUGAUAUGGACAGCGAGUACCUUACUAUGAAGGUGGUAAGGCUCUACCUGGUCUUCCAGAUAGAGGUGAUAUUCCUGUUCCAAGCGGCCCUU